rnacentral:tRNA from 1 species
GACGCCGUGGCCGAGCGGUUCAGGCGGCGGUUUGCAGAACCGUCCCACGUGGGUUCGAAUCCCACCGGCGUCU